rnacentral:rRNA from 1 species
AUGAACAAAGAGGGGAUCUUGGAACCUCGCCGGCCCAUGCUACCUCCACUCGAGUUCGACAUAGAGAUGGACGAUGACGGCUUCCCAGGCAAGCUGGGCCGAGGCAACUGCGUGCCCCACGCUGCGAAUGAACAGGCGAUUCUCUCGGUCGUCCUGCUCCCGACGGCAGGCGAGGCAGGAGGCGGCGGAUCUGGCCGCUCCUCGAGCGUGGAUCCGGCGGUGGCGGACGGAAUCGAGGCGGAGGAGAACGAAGCCGACGAAGAGGUGGUCGGAGGCGGCGAGCUCCAAGGCGGGGUAGCAACUGGCUGGCCUGCUGGAGGCGGCUCGGGGCAGAGGAGCGCUCCUCUCCCAGCGCCGUCGGAGGUGGCAGCGAGGCAGCACGGGGCGGCUGCUCCCAACGAGGUGAAGAGAAAAGGGGAUUUUGCUUUGAGUAUAGAGAAAGGGGAAAGGAAACGGGAUAAGAACAAGUGUGGAGCUUGCGUCCUUGGAGAUAAUAUAGAUCGAGCCACCAUGUACAGUAGUUGUGCAUUCCCUCAAAGAAAAAGAAAUAGAUUGUGUAGUGCGUAG